rnacentral:rRNA from 1 species
UAGGGAAUAUUGGACAAUGGGCGAAAGCCUGAUCCAGCAAUGCCGCGUGAGUGAGGAAGGCCUUAGGGUUGUAAAGCUCUUUCGCACGCGACGAUGAUGACGGUAGCGUGAGAAGAAGCCCCGGCUAACUUCGUGCCAGCAGCCGCGGUAAUACGAAGGGGGCGAGCGUUGUUCGGAAUUACUGGGCGUAAAGGGCGCGUAGGCGGCCAUCUUUGUCAGGCGUGAAAGCCCUGGGCUCAACCUAGGAAUUGCGCUUGGGACGGGAUGGCUAGAGUUCGGGAGAGGAGAGUGGAAUUCCCAGUGUAGAGGUGAAAUUCGUAGAUAUUGGGAAGAACACCAGUGGCGAAGGCGGCUCUCUGGACCGAUACUGACGCUGAGGCGCGAAAGCGUGGGGAGCAAACAGGAUUAGAUACCCUGGUAGUCCACGCUGUAAACGAUGUGUGCUAGACGUUGGGAAGCCUAGCUUCUCGGCGUCGCAGCUAACGCUUUAAGCACACCGCCUGGGGA